rnacentral:lncRNA from 1 species
AAUUUAAAUAAUAUUCUAAUAUGACGUGCUUCUUUCGCUUUGUAAACAACACCGUGAUAAAAUUCUCGAUAUAUCUAUACUUAGCGCAGACUCCAAGAUGUACACAAAUGGCUGUUUAAAUAUGCCUCCCACGUAAAUCCACAUGUAUCGUAACCUAUGUGUAAACGGUUGUGGAUUUCGCUGUGUUAGCAAUUACAAUUGAAUAAAACCCUAAAGAACAUUUAUUCUGAUUCUGACGCAUAACAAAAAGAAUUUACACAUUAGAGAACGGAAAAAUGGACAAAAACAAAAUAAAUUAAAAUUCCGCGAAAUUCCAGUAAUGAUUUUGGCGCAUUAACGUCAUUUCAAAACAUGACGUCAUACGUAUGAAAACGUCAAAGCUGAAGGUUUUUCUAUUGCGUUUACCUUCUAAACUCGGAUACAACUGCAUUAAAAUAAAUUAUUGAGGUAGGUGUUGCUUGUUUUCUGUUCUAUUGCAUUAUUCGCACAUUUACUGAUUUCAGCAAGUCAACAUGGCGGCUCCAUGGUUACAACAUGUCAACAGUGAAUUUGACUGUAGCUUACGAUAAAAAAUGUAAAUUUAAAAUUGCAAAUGUUGGGUUUACUGAGAAGUAACAAAAGGAAUCACAUUUUUUUUUCUAGCGGUUAGUUAAGAAAUCAUUCAUGCAGGUUUAUUAAAUUUGUUUUACAUUUAUCGAACAGUGGGUAAAAUAGAACAGCCACACACACGGUAUACCCAUCAUCGCUUCAGUUUUUUAAUGAUCGUAUUUGUCCU